UGGGGAAUAUUGCACAAUGGGCGGAAGCCUGAUGCAGCAACGCCGCGUGAGUGAUGAAGGCCUUCGGGUUGUAAAGCUCUGUCUUUUGGGACGAUAAUGACGGUACCAAAGGAGGAAGCCACGGCUAACUACGUGCCAGCAGCCGCGGUAAUACGUAGGUGGCAAGCGUUGUCCGGAUUUACUGGGCGUAAAGGAUGCGUAGGCGGAUUUUUAAGUGAGAUGUGAAAUACCCGGGCUUAACUUGGGUGCUGCAUUUCAAACUGGGAAUCUAGAGUGCGGGAGAGGAGAAUGGAAUUCCUAGUGUAGCGGUGAAAUGCGUAGAGAUUAGGAAGAACACCAGUGGCGAAGGCGAUUCUCUGGACCGUAACUGACGCUGGA
rnacentral:rRNA from 1 species